rnacentral:rRNA from 1 species
GUGCAGCAGUCGCGAAACCUCCGCAAUACACGAAAGUGUGACGGGGCCAUCCCGAGUGCCGUCCGCUGAGGACGGCUUUUCCCCAGUGUACACAGCUGGGGGAAUAAGGAGAGGGCAAGCCUGGUGUCAGCCGCCGCGGUAAUACCAGCUCUCCGAGUGGUGGGGACGCUUAUUGGGCCUAAAGCAUCCGUAGCCGGCUGGGCAAGUCCUCCGUUAAAUCCAACGAUUCAAUCGUUGGGCUGCGGGGGAUACUGUCCAGCUUGGGGGCGGGAGAGGCCGACGGUAUUCCCGGGGUAGGGGUGAAAUCCUAUAAUCCCCGGGAGGACCACCAGUGGCGAAGGCUGUCGGCUAGAACGCGCCCGACGGUGAGGGAUGAAAGCUGGGGGAGCGAACCGGAUUAGAUACCCGCGUAGU